rnacentral:tRNA from 1 species
AGGGGAGUAGCUCAAUUGGCAGAGUAGCGGUCUCCAAAACCGCCGGUUGCAGGUUCGAGUCCUGUCUCCCCUG